rnacentral:rRNA from 1 species
UGAAACACGGACCAAGGAGUCUAACAUGUGCGCGAGUUAUUGGGUGGUAAACCCAAAGGCGAAAUAAAAGUAAAGGCUUCGGCCGAGAUACGAUCCUGGACUUCGGUCUGGGCGGAGUAUCAUCCCAUCUAUGCGGUUCGUCCGUUGGGUGGAGAAAGAGCGUAAAUGUUGGGACCCGAAAGAUGGUGAACUAUGCCCGAGCAGAACGAAGCCAGAGGAAACUCUGGUGAAGGUUCGUAGCGGUUCUGACGUGCAAAUCGAUCGUCAGACUUGGGUAUAGGGGCGAAAGACUAAUCGAACCAUCUAGUAGCUGGUUCCCUCCGAAGUUUCCCUCAGGAUAGCAGGAACUCGGUAAUAGUUUUAUCCGGUAAAGCGAAUGAUUAGAGGACUUGGGGUCGAAAUGAACCUCAACCUAUUCUCAAACUUUAAAUGGGUAAGAAGUCGAGCUUACGUGAAUGAAGUUCGACAUUAGAAUAAACGAGCUCCUAGUGGGCCAUUUUUGGUAAGCA